UUAACAAUCCUAACUUGUAGGAAGCAUUCUAGGAAACAAUCCUAAGUGACAGUCAAUACAAGAUUACAUCGAAUCAAUUAGAAUCUUCACUCUUAACAGCGGGGAACUAGAUCAUGUUUCACACCAUAACGAACUGACAUAGGUUUCAUCACCCUAUAAAUCCAGUCAGCUCUCAACUUCAACCUACUUCUCUGAAUCUCAGUCACUCUGAAAAUCAUGUCAGACCUCCCCAACCCUCUCUACGAUUUCAUCAUUCUCGGCGCCUCCGGCUUCACCGGAAAGUACGUCGUGAAAGAAGCCCUCAAGUUCCUCAACACCCCGUCUUCACCUCUCAAGUCUCUGGCUUUAGCCGGCCGCAACCCCGCAAAGCUCUCCCAAACUCUCAACUGGGCGACCGGCCCAAACCCACCUCCCUCCAUUCCCAUCCUCACCGCCGACACCACCGACCCUCCGUCCCUCCGCCGCCUCUGCUCCCAAACCCGCCUCAUCCUCAACUGCGUGGGCCCCUUCCGCCUCUACGGCGAGCCCGUCGUCGCCGCGUGCGUUGAGACCGGCUGUGAUUAUCUCGACAUAUGCGGAGAGCCGGAGUUCAUGGAGAGGAUGGAGGCCAGUUAUUUUGAUAAGGCGGCGGAGAAGGGCUCGUUGGUCAUUUCGGCUUGUGGGUUCGACUCUGUUCCGGCGGAGUUUGGGUUGAUGUUUAACUCGAGGCAGUGGGUGGGGGCGGCGGUGCCGAAUAGGGUGGAGGCUUAUGUGAGCUUGGAGUCUGAGAAGAGACUUGUUUUGAACUUCGGGACGUUUGAGUCGGCGGUGUUGGGUGUGGCUAAUGCGGAUAAGUUGGAGCUCCGGCGGUCCAGACCUAAAAAGCCGAGGUCGGAGAUUCCUGGUCCUCCUCCUUCUAAAGGACCAACUAUUGAACACCAGAAAAAGAUUGGCCUUUGGGCUGUGAAGCUACCUUCAGCAGAUACUAUCGUUGUACGAAGAACACUUGGAGCUCUGACUGAAAAUCCCGGUGGUCUUCCAGGGAGGAAUGAGAGUGAUGAACACAUUAAAAAAAGAGAAGCCUUCUGGUCAACAGUGAAGCCAGCUUAUUUCGGAGUGAAGAUAGGCACCAAGUCUCUGCUGGGCAUUUUUCGGAUGAUAAUAAUUGGAAUCUUUCUUGGGCUCUUGGGUCAGUUUUCCUUUGGGAGGUGGCUUCUCUUAAAGUAUCCCUCAUUUUUCAGUGUUGGAUGGUUCAGGAAGCAGGGUCCCUCCGAUGAGGAGGUGAGAAGUGCUUCUUUUAAGAUGUGGUUUGUUGGACAUGGUUUCAGCGACAGGAGUCUUGCUUCUCAGGGAAACACAAAACCUGAUACGGAAAUAGUAACAAGAGUUAUGGGACCUGAAGUUGGCUACAUAACAACCCCGAUAAUUCUACUUCAGUGUGCACUUAUUGUUCUGAGCCAACGCGAUAACCUUCCAAGGGGAGGAGUUCUCCCACCUGGGAUUGUAUUUGGCCCAACUGAUCUCCAAGAAAAGCUACAAGAAAAUGGAGUUACUUUUGAUGUUAUUUCAAAGAAUGUUAUUUCUCAUUAACAGGUACAUACUUUCUGAGAAAAUAAAUCUAUAGUUGGAAGUACCUAUGAAACAGUAACUUAUAAUAAAAGAGUAGUUAUUUUGCUUCCUUAUUACAGUUUGGUUUCCUGAUAAGAGUGCUUAAAAACUUGAUGAGAUUACAGUUCAAUCUACAUUUGAUUGCAUAUUUGUUUCUAUUCUAAUCUUAGUAAUAGAGUCCAUCUGUAAAUGAAGAUGGGUUCAGAAAAGGAAGGUUUAACUAACUUGAAACUCUUUCCAUGUCUCAAUGAGAGCAGUGAGUCUGUUUUUAUGUUACGAGGGAUUCAUAGGUUAUUUUUUAAAGGUAAAAGUACAAUAAUCUUAUAGGGCUAUCUGAGGCACUCGAUUAGUGUUGAUACAAACAAAAUCAGUCCCAAGUCCCUACUCGUGUUGCUGUGCAUCUUCUCUUUAGAUCUCUUUUAUGUUCAUUACUGGAGUGUACUCUUCUAUUUAUUGUUUCUUAAUUUCUAGUAUUAUCCAAUAUGCUCUUCUGGCUGACCAUAAUUUUGUAGGGGAUUGAGUAAUCUUUUGUCCUUAAAAGUUAAAACUGGGAAAUCUCUUAUGGAAGAUGUCGAACAUUGGGACGUUAUUCUUAAUUUUUAUGAUCUAUAGUUCACUAACACGGCCUCUUUAAUCGAUUGAUUUUCUUCAUGAUGAUAAAAGAACAAGGGAGGAAAGUACUCCUCCGGCUCAGGGCGGUUCUAUUGGGCUAUUUCACAAAGGGCUCGUCUCUGUGAUCACCAUCUUGGCCGUGUUCUUCAAACAAGAACCGGUAGAAAAUACAUCUCUAACUGACACCUUCUAGAGCUCCUAUACUCAUCCCGAUAUCCCAACUUAGUGAAUACAAUUAGCACUGUGUUCGGAAUUCAUCGUUGUCCCAGCUCUUAGAUCCUACUGAAAGAUAAAAUGAUAGCAAUGUACAUCAGCUUAAAGCAAAGUAGAGAAGUUUCAAUGUUUCGUCACUUGGUGCUGCCCUGUGACAAAUUGAAGGAGGUGAUCAGAAUUGGCGGUCGCGGAACAGAGCAUGAAGCCCAGGACCAGAGCCACAUCAAUGAGCUGCCCCCAGUUUGCUUUCUGUAGCUACCACUAUUCCUUUGCUGUAAUGAUUUGUAUUCAGGCCCGCUCACCUGCGGGACGAAAAUAAAGGGACAAAACGGGACCAAACCAUCCCAGCCGUUGGAUCUUAAUUCAGUUGAUCUAAUGGAUAGAAUAGCAAACCAUUAAAACAAUUUUUUUUAACCCAUUAUCCAAUCCAGUUUAGUCUCAACUCUCAACCAAGACUCCACGUUCAGUCUUUGGGUUAUUCCUCCUCCCUCAGAGCCUCCCAUAUACCAGCAAUGAAAUCAUCCUCAUCAUCAUAAGACUGGUCUAUCUUGAAGCCGUCCGUGCUUGUGCUUUACAUUUGGAAAGAACAUGAAGCGAGUUGCUUUACAUUUGAGAAUUGUUUCUUUUCCUUCAUCCUUUUGUGAAGUGAUCAAAGUCAAAAUCUUUGAGUCAUGCACACACCUAAGGUGUAUCACAGUCGUCAAUCAAUGUUAUGCCAGGGUACAGUUCCUGUCUGCUGAAGGCAAAACCCUUGCCAGUUUGAGCCAUCCAUGCAUGUUAUAUUUUAAAAGUGAGCCAUCCGUGCAGAAUACAAUCCUAGCGCUGGUAUUCCCAAAAUAUAUGAUGCAUCCAUGACCCUUGAAUCAGAACUUCCCCUGUUUAAAAGGAUUAUAUGGAACUGGAGGAGAACUUUAUUUGUUUGCUGUAAAAGUAGGAGAGAUACUAAUUCAACCAGUUACUUGAACAAGUUGAUUAGUUAGCUUAAAUUAUUUUCUGAUAUUUGUGUUGGAUGUACCUGUUGGGAAAUAUGAAAUUCUUAUUAAAUUGAUCGUCUUAUCCUGAUUAGAUGAAACUUGAUCGUUUGUACUGAGGAGAAGAAAUAAUAAAGUUUGUUUUUGUAGUUUGUACUGA